GAUGAACGCUAGCGGCAGGCUUAACACAUGCAAGUCGAGGGGUAGAAGGAGCUUGCUCCUUUGAGACCGGCGCACGGGUGCGUAACGCGUAUGCAAUCUACCUUGUACAGGGGGAUAGCCCAGAGAAAUUUGGAUUAAUACCCCAUAGUGUAAUGACUAGGCAUCUAUUUAUUACUAAAGUUCCAACGGUACAAGAUGAGCCAGCGUCCCAUUAGCUAGUUGGUGUGGUAACGGCAUACCAAGGCAACGAUGGGUAGGGGUCCUGAGAGGGAGAUCCCCCACACUGGUACUGAGACACGGACCAGACUCCUACGUGAGGCAGCAGUGAGGAAUAUUGGUCAAUGGGCGCAAGCCUGAACCAGCCAUGCCGCGUGCAGGAUGACUGUCCUAUGGAUUGUAAACUGCUUUUGUACAGGAAGAAACACUCCCUCGUGAGGGAGCUUGACGGUACUGUAAGAAUAAGGAUCGGCUAACUCCGUGCCAGCCGCCGCGGUAACAC
rnacentral:rRNA from 1 species